UGCUGCAGGAAAGUCUCUCCCGUGGAUGCUGUGGCCUGGGGCUUGGGUGACGACGUGCACGGCUGCCUCCUCGCUGUCACGUGCUCUGCUGGCUCGUCUCCAAGCUGUGCUGCUCAUGUUCCAAAGUCUCCCUGGAGGCUUUAGUGAAAAGCCCUUUCCCCGGUGACCUGGAGUGUCUUGCUAGAUGGAGCUGGCCAAGCCUGACGUCUUUUCCUGGCCGAUGCCUCAGUCCUUAUGCAAUUUUGGAGGUCAGAAGUCCCAAAUCAGUUUCAGCAGGAUGGAAUCAGGGUGCCAUGAGGGCCGCUCCCUCCAGAGGCUCCAGGGGGGUCUGUUUCCUUGCCUUUUCCAGCUUCUAGAGCUGCAUUCCUUGGCUCGUGGCCCCUUCCUCCGCCUUCAAAGGCAGUGGCUUAGCGUCUUCAAAAUUCUCUCCACGCUGUCUUCUCAUGGCCUUCUCUUCUAUGUCAGAUUUCCCUCUAUCCUCUCUUAUCAGGACAUUUGUGAUUGCAUUUGGGACCCACCCAUGUAAUCCAGGAUAAUGUCUCCUUCUCAAGAUCCUCAACUCAAUCACAUCUGCAAAGUCCCUUUUGCCACAUAAGAUACAUUUGCAGGCUUCAUAGAUUCAGAUCUGCGUAUAUUAUUUGAGGGCCAUUAUUUAACCUACUACACUGAUGCACCCCUAUAUUGUGACAAGCAAAAAAAUUGAGGAUUUAUUCUUCCAGUGCUUAAAAACUGUGGCCUGAUUGAUUCAGCAAGGAAGUCACUUGUGACAUUGAUGAAUAAGUGAACUUCUGAUAUUCGCCUUCAUUGUCUCACUUUUACUUGUUAACAUAAAUGAAAAUAUCAGCCUCAUGAGAAUGAAACGAAAUGAAAAUAGCCAACCCUCAUGUGUAAAGCACACUUAGUCAUCAUAUGCAAACAGACAUAGGCUGUAGAUACAAGAGUUUGGAAAAACUCAACAAAGGCAUUCUGUGAGGAUCAACCAACUAUAUGCAGCUUAUAAUAAAGGAUAUUGUAUCAUUAUGUUUUGUUGUACAUUCUUUAUAUCAGUAACAUUUAUAAUAAAUUAUCUCUUCAUUUAUAUGUGUAUGUACACCCCACACACACACACACACACACACACACACACACACACACACACACACAAUCUUUCCCUCCAGAGGGCCAGCUGUUGAGCAUUUAUCAGCCCACCACUGCUUAAUACUUAUUUCCAGUAGGGAGGUAGAGGGAGCCUAAGGCCCCCGAAAAGGUAAAGUGCUCUUUGCACCUGAGGGUGGACCUUGCAGUCCCGAGCUCUAUGGUGAGCCUGUCACCCACCGUGGUCAGCUACCUCCAUCCACAGAUGGUUAAAUGGAUCUGGAUCAACCACCUCCGAGGAUGCCUGUGUUUCAGCGGAAGAUGAGGCUUACCUAGACACAACUGGAUGCAGAGCUUAUUCAAAAGGCCUUCAGGACAAGGGGGAAAGAUUUUGUAAGGAAUGGAGGGAGCAUCAUCAGUGGAAAGCCUGCCUCCACUUCCCAUCCCUGUGAUCAUGACAGACAUCACUAGCUGAUCACUGACCAUGGCAUUCUUUCCCACAG
rnacentral:lncRNA from 10 species